CCGCUGCCGAUCGCGGGAGGAUCUCUCCUCAGAGUCGGGUUGCUUGAGAGUGCAGCCCUAAGUGGGUGGUAAACUCCAUCUAAGGCUAAAUAUGACCACGAGACCGAUAGCGAACAAGUACCGUGAGGGAAAGUUGAAAAGCACUUUGAAGAGAGAGUUCAAGAGUACGUGAAACCGUUCAGGGGUAAACCUGAGAAACCCGAAAGGUCGAAAGGGGAAAUUCAUUCGCGUUUCGGCGGUCGGAGUAUGACGGUCGCGUGACGGGCGGCGUACGCGUCGUCCGCAUCGACCGUUGUACCUGUCCGGCUUCGAACGCGUGCACUUUUCCCCUAGUAGGACGUCGCGAUCCGUUGGGUGUCGGUUUAAGGCUCUCGCGGUGGAGCCCGAGCGUACGUUUCACGACGUUUCGCGCUCGGACCCGCGGUGCCCCGACCGACCCGCUCGACGGUAGACAGAUGGCGCGGGGCCGCUAACCUACAGUUAGCGCCCGGCCCGCGGCAAGCGCGUUCGGUGUGACGGCGAUCGGACCUGGUGCCGGUCCUGUCCCCGGACGACUGUUGGCUGCGGUGUUCUCGGGCAGACCUCGUCUCUCGAAACGCCGAUCUGCGACGCUAUAGCUUUGGGUACUUUCAGGACCCGUCUUGAAACACGGACCAAGGAGUCUAGCAUGUGCGCGAGUCAUUGGGACAUAACUAAACCUAAAGGCGCAAUGAAAGUGAAGGUCCGCCUUGCGCGGACCGAGGGAAGAUGAGCGUUGCACCACCGUAUUAACGUGCGGUGGCCGCUGCUCCGCACUCCCGGGGCGUCUCGUUCUCAUCGCGAGA
rnacentral:rRNA from 1 species